rnacentral:tRNA from 1 species
GUCGAUUUGGUGUAUUUUAGCAUGGUGGCUUUUCGUGUCAUUGGGAAUUUGGAGUUAAUCGAUA